GGACCUUUAGCUCAGUUGGUUAGAGCAACCGGCUCAUAACCGGUCGGUCGUAGGUUCGAGUCCUACAAGGUCCACCA
rnacentral:tRNA from 2 species